UGCAAGUCGAGCGGACCGACGGGAGCUUGCUCCCUUAGGUCAGCGGCGGACGGGUGAGUAACACGUGGGUAACCUGCCUGUAAGACUGGGAUAACUCCGGGAAACCGGGGCUAAUACCGGAUGCUUGAUUGAACCGCAUGGUUCAAUUAUAAAAAGGGGCUUUUAGCUACCACUUACAGAUGGACCCGCGGCGCAUUAGCUAGUUGGUGAGGUAACGGCUCACCAAGGCGACGAUGCGUAGCCGACCUGAGAGGGUGAUCGGCCACACUGGGACUGAGACACGGCCCAGACUCCUACGGGAGGCAGCAGUAGGGAAUCUUCCGCAAUGGACGAAAGUCUGACGGAGCAACGCCGCGUGAGUGAUGAAGGUUUUCGGAUCGUAAAACUCUGUUGUUAGGGAAGAACAAGUACCGUUCGAAUAGGGCGGUACCUUGACGGUACCUAACCAGAAAGCCACGGCUAACUACGUGCCAGCAGCCGCGGUAAUACGUAGGGGGCAAGCGUUGUCCGGAAUUAUUGGGCGUAAAGCCCCCGCAGGCGGUUUCUUAAGUCUGAUGUGAAAGCCCCCGGCUCAACCGGGGAGGGUCAUUGGAAACUGGGGAACUUGAGUGCAA
rnacentral:rRNA from 1 species